AAAUGAUCUUUGGUACACGAACAUCAAAGAGCCGCUCACCGGAGCCAUGUGACUCCUCCAGCCAGCUCUCUCAUGGAGUUAAGAUGAGGCCCAGCUGUUACAGGAUGAGUGUGUUCUACUGACCUGCAGAGAGGUACCUACCUUGCUCCAUCCCUAGCACACUCUACCUACCUACACCACCCAGGGCACCUCCCUACCUACCUACACCACCCAGGGCAGCCCUCCAGCACGCAGAGCACACUCUACUAGCAUCCAGCAGCUCCCAAGACAGCCCGGUACAGCUGCCCCCCUUUGCUCCCUGCUGGCAGCCAGUCCUGGCAGAUAUGGGCAGACCAUCCUCAGUGGGGGCAAAAUACACCUUUACUUGGUAAAUGCCGGAUUGCUCUCCCUG